GCAGCCGCCGCGGUAAUACGAAGGGGGCAAGCGUUGUUCGGAAUUAUUGGGCGUAAAGGGUGCGUAGGCGGUUUGAUAAGUCUUGUGUGAAAUCUAUGGGCUCAACCCAUAGUCUGCGCAGGAAACUGUCGGGCUUGAGAGUGGGAGAGGUGAGUGGAAUUUCCGGUGUAGCGGUGAAAUGCGUAGAUAUCGGAAGGAACACCUGUGGCGAAAGCGGCUCACUGGACCAUUUCUGACGCUGAUGCACGAAAGCUAGGGGAGCAAACAGGAUUAGAUACCCCCGUAGUCCCUGUCUCUUAUAA
rnacentral:rRNA from 1 species